rnacentral:rRNA from 1 species
AUGAGCCUCAGGCCCGCGUCACCGUCCCAUGAGGAGCUGAUGAAGCGCAAACAAGAGCGUAAUCGCAAGAGUUUGGUUAUAGCGCUCAACACAUAUGCCAAGCGAAACAAUAUGCAGAUUACUGAUUUUGAGUUUGUGGAAGAGAAAGAAAGGAAUCUUGUUUCUGGAAUGCUUGGAGGAUAUGUGCAUUCCAACUUUGUGGUGAAAGGUGUAGAUGGCAGACCAACUUUGUUCUUUGCUGAGAUGGAGCAUGAUUGCUUCCAGGAAGAGCACUCUGGUAACUACUUCGCUUUCCUUAUAACCCGAGGAGGCCCACCAGGCAGUAGUUAG